rnacentral:rRNA from 1 species
GAUGAACGCUAGCGAUAGGCUUAACACAUGCAAGUCGAGGGGCAGCACAAGGUAGCUUGCUAUCUGGGUGGCGACCGGCGCACGGGUGCGUAACGCGUAUGCAACUUGCCCUAUACAGGAGGAUAACCCGUCGAAAGACGGACUAAUACUGCGUAUGCUCCCAACUUGGCAUCAAGUGGUGAGGAAAGAAAUUCGGUAUAGGAUAGGCAUGCGUCCCAUUAGCUUGUUGGUGAGGUAACGGCUCACCAAGGCAACGAUGGGUAGGGGAACUGAGAGGUUUAUCCCCCACACUGGUACUGAGACACGGACCAGACUCCUACGGGUGGCAGCAGUGAGGAAUAUUGGUCAAUGGGCGCGAGCCUGAACCAGCCAAGUCGCGUGAAGGAUGACUGUCUUAUGGAUUGUAAACUUCUUUAUACGGGAAUAACAAGAGUCACGUGUGACUCCCUGCAUGUACCGUAUGAAUAAGCAUCGGCUAACUCCGUG